rnacentral:rRNA from 1 species
ACUAGGGAUCGGGCGAACUCAAUUUCAUGUGUCGCUCGGGACCUUACGAGAAAUCAAAGUCUUGGGGUUCUGGGGGGAGUAUGGUCGCAAGGCUGAAACUUAAAGGAAUUGACGGAAGGGCACCACAGGAGUGGAGCCUGCGGCUUAAUUUGACUCAACACGGGGAAACUCACCAGGUCCAGACAUGACUAGGAUUGCCAGAUUGAUAGCUCUUUCUUGAUUUUAUGG